GACGUAGGGCGCGAGCGUUGUCCGGAUUUAUUGGGCGUAAAGAGCUCGUAGGCGGCUUGUCGCGUCGAAUGUGAAAAUCUCAGGGCUCAACUCUGACAUUGCAUUCGAUACGGGCAGGCUAGAGUUCGGUAGGGGAGACUGGAAUUCCUGGUGUAGCGGUGAAAUGCGCAGAUAUCAGGAGGAACACCGGUGGCGAAGGCGGAUCUCUGGGCCGUAACUGACGCUGAGGAGCGAAAGCAUGGGAGCGAACAGG
rnacentral:rRNA from 1 species